UGCCGAAUGGUGUAAUUGGCAGCACAAGCGACUCUGACUCGCUUAGUCAAGGUUCGAGUCCUUGUUCGGCAACCA
rnacentral:tRNA from 3 species